CUACGGGGUGCUGCAGUGAGGAAUAUUGCACAAUGGGGGGAACCCAGAUGCAGCAACGCCGCGUGGAGGAUGACGCAUUUCGGUGUGUAAACUCCUUUUAUAUGUCAAGAAAAUGACGGUAGCAUAUGAAUAAGCACAGGCUAACUCCGUGCCAGCAGCCGCGGUAAUACGGAGGGUGCAAGCGUUACUCGGAAUCACUGGGCGUAAAGGACGCGUAGGCGGUUGGAAAGUCAGGUGUGAAAUCCUACAGCUUAACUGUAGAACUGCACUUGAAACUUCUAAUCUAGAGUAUGGGAGGGGGAGAUGGAAUUAGUGGUGUAGGGGUAAAAUCCGUAGAUAUCACUAGGAAUACCUAAAGCGAAGGCGAUCUCCUGGAACAUUACUGACGCUAAGGCGUGAAAGUGUGGGGAGCAAACAGGAUUAGAUACCCUCGUAGUC
rnacentral:rRNA from 1 species